rnacentral:rRNA from 1 species
UACGUAGGAUGCAAGCGUUGUCCGGAUUUAUUGGGUUUAAAGGGUGCGUAGGCGGCUAUUUAAGUUAGUGGUGAAAACGUUCGGCUUAACCGGGUACCCGCCAUUGAUACUGAGAGACUUGAGUGCGACAGAGGGUGUUGGAAUGUGUGGUGUAGCGGUGAAAUGCUUAGAUAUCACGCAGAACACCAAUUGCGAAGGCAGAUGCCUAUGUCGUAACUGACGCUGAGGCACGAAAGCGUGGGGAGCAAACAGG